CCUCUUUCCUGGACUCAUCACCACUCUGCUGAGAUAUGAGCAGUCUGGCUCUCGUGCAGAGCUCUGCUGUAGCAGCUCAUUUAUCCUACUGCUAAAUCUAGAGCCGACAAUAACUGACUGAGAGAAUUAAUGCAGCCUUGAAAACACCUUUGCUUCACGGAGAUGUCAGAUUACAGGAUUCUCAUUUUUCCAAAGAAUGUUUUAUGAAAGUGUUGGAAUUUUGUUCAAGAACAGGGGACACCUGAACUGCCCUGGACAUUUUUUGCCUCUUGUACCUCCGGUGCAAGGGACUAAUGUGUUUUCUGAAGCUUACAAGAUACGAACGGCCCGGGUCACUUUACUGCUGAAAGGGCAGCAACAUUCCUUGAUACUAUUCAAGAAAGUGCAAGAGGCUGUGAGGCCAGAGUGACAUUUCUGUUCAUUUCUGGAACAGAUCUCUCAGAUGUCCAUACCGCAAUGAGAGAGGUGGCAUAGUGCGUGGACCCUACAUUGUCUCCUGUCUCCUAACUAUUUCCUUCUGGGAGCUGGCCACAGGAAUACACUUGUAAUAUAAGCUUAAGGCUUUAAAAGCAUCCUGAAGGGAAUCGGCUCUUUAU
rnacentral:lncRNA from 1 species